ensembl:snRNA U6 U6 spliceosomal RNA
AUGCUCAUUUUGACAGCAUAUGCAUUAAAAUUGAAAUGAUACAGAGAUCAGCCUGGUCUCUGUACUACAAUAAAACAUGGAUUCAUGACUUGUUUCAUAUCCUG